GGCUGAGCUUGCAAUGAAGACUGAUGACAGAGGAAGGGUUCGAGAGAGAACAGCCCAAGGGCCAACAGUACAGACAGCAGGAACAACGGUACAGACAGCAGGGCCUAAAGGUACAGACAGCAGGGCCUAAAGGUACAGACAGCAGGGCCAAUGGUACAGACAGCAGGGCCUAAAGGUACAGACAGCAGGGCCUAAAGGUACAGACAGAAGAGCCAAUGGUACA